GCAAGUCGAACGAACUCUGGUAUUGAUUGGUGCUUGCAUCAUGAUUUACAUCUUGAGUGAGUGGCGAACUGGUGAGUAACACGUGGGAAACCUGCCCAGAAGCGGGGGAUAACACCUGGAAACAGAUGCUAAUACCGCAUAACAACUUGGACCGCAUGGUCCGAGCUUGAAAGAUGGCUUCGGCUAUCACUUUUGGAUGGUCCCGCGGCGUAUUAGCUAGAUGGUGGGGUAACGGCUCACCAUGGCAAUGAUACGUAGCCGACCUGAGAGGGUAAUCGGCCACAUUGGGACUGAGACACGGCCCAAACUCCUACGGGAGGCAGCAGUAGGGAAUCUUCCACAAUGGACGAAAGUCUGAUGGAGCAACGCCGCGUGAGUGAAGAAGGGUUUCGGCUCGUAAAACUCUGUUGUUAAAGAAGAACAUAUCUGAGAGUAACUGUUCAGGUAUUGACGGUAUUUAACCAGAAAGCCACGGCUAACUACGUGCCAGCAGCCGCGGUAAUACGUAGGUGGCAAGCGUUGUCCGGAUUUAUUGGGCGUAAAGCGAGCGCAGGCGGUUUUUUAAGUCUGAUGUGAAAGCCUUCGGCUCAACCGAAGAAGUGCAUCGGAAACUGGGAAACUUGAGUGCAGAAGAGGACAGUGGAACUCCAUGUGUAGCGGUGAAAUGCGUAGAUAUAUGGAAGAACACCAGUGGCGAAGGCGGCUGUCUGGUCUGUAACUGACGCUGAGGCUCGAAAGUAUGGGUAGCAAACAGGAUUAGAUACUCUGGUAGUCCAUACCGUAAACGAUGAAUGCUAAGUGUUGGAGGGUUCCGCCCUUCAGUGCUGCAGCUAACGC
rnacentral:rRNA from 1 species